GGCUAGGUUGCCACAGUCAGGGACCGAGGAGGGUGACCCGGUGAGGGGCGCAAAUGAAGCACUGCCCUCUGGGGCUGGGCCAGGCACGGUUAUUUAUAACCACGGGUCACCUUACCUCCUGACCUUCAGCUGGGGCCCAGCGAGCCGCAGCGAUUAGCAUCUCCUGCCGCCCAUUAUGAACAAACACCCCUGUGUGCCCGCCCCAGGCCCUGCAGGAAGCAGGAUGUUGGCCGGAGCUGGUGCCCCGUGGCUCCCUCAGGUGAACCCGCCACGUGUGUCUUUACAGCAUGCGACAGAGCAGGGGGAGCGGAAGUUCCUGGAGUCUACAACCUUCCCCACCACUGCCUCCGUCAUCGCAUUCCAGAACCCAGAACCAAAGGCCACCUCCUGAGUCCACUGGUCCCAUCCACUGGCCUCUAGGGGCAGGUCCACCUGGUCCCAGGUAACCUCCCCAACACAGAAAUGUAGACUGCCUACAAAAUAAAAAGCCUGUGUCCACAGAAGCAGAACAGGCCAACAACAGGUGGCAAAAGGCAGCAGCUGAAAGUUCGCUCUGGGACCUGUCCCUCACCUGGGCUAGCCAAAGGGUGCCUGCACAGGAUGAAAUGAACUCUUCGAUGCGAAAGAGAAUAUGGGUCUCCUCCGCUGUUGAAUUUUCAUGGAACACCCCUUGUCCUUAAAUUGGGGAGGGCAGAGCAAC